rnacentral:rRNA from 1 species
CUGGAGUUACUAGUAAUCGCAGAUCAGAAUGCUGCGGUGAAUGCGUUCCCGGGUCUUGUACACACCGCCCGUCACACCACGGGAGUUGGAGACGCCCGAAGCCGAUUAUCUAACCUUUUGGAAGAAGUCGGCGAAGGUGGAAUCAAUAACUGGGGUGAAGUCGUAACAAGGUAGCCGUAUCGGAAGGUGCGGCUGGAUCACCUCCUUUCUAAGGAGA